rnacentral:misc_RNA from 1 species
UCCGGUUCAUCACCAGCAGUCUCCUUAGAGUCCUCACCAUAACGUGUUAGUAACUAAGGAUAAGGGUUGCGCUCGUUACGGGACUUAACCCAACAUCUCACAACACGAGCUGACGACAGCCAUGCAGCACCUGUGUCCAGGUUCCUUUCGGCGCCUUCGCAUCUCUGCAAAAUUCCUGGCAUGUCAAGGGUAGGUAAGGUUCUUCGCGUUGCGUCGAAUUAAACCACAUGCUCCACCGCUUGUGCGGGCUCCCGUCAAUUCCUUUGAGUUUCAGCCUUGCGGCCGUACUCCCCAGGCGGGGCACUUAAUGCGUUAGCGACGACACUCAGGGGGUCGCUCCCCCAAGCAUCUAGUGCCCAUCGUUUGCGGCGUGGACUAC